AAGAUCUCAGCCUUCCAUAGUUCCAAAUCAGUCAGGAUUAAAAAAAAAUUAUAUUUCAAUGUAAAAUAAUACUUCCUAAAACAUUCAAAGUGUUAAACCCUACAAAUACAUACAACUUAGCUAGCUUAAAUUAUUGUACAUUCUCUAGUGAGAAUAUUAGGAGUUAAUACUCUUGACUAAAACAGAAACACAUAAGGUAGUAGAGAAACUCCCUCAUAAUAAGAACAUAACCACAAGGCUCCUUUCUCCGGAUUGCUUACUGAGAUUAUUAGAAUGCUAGAAGAACUCUUUUCAAGUCUAGAUAAACGACAGCAGUUGUUUCCAAAAAAAGCAAGAAGAAAUCACAAAACAUAUAAUUACUAAGUCAAAAAUAUCAAAACCACAAACGAAACUAAUAAAGCUAGCAUCACCUCACCGUUCUCCUAACAAAUUGAUCGAAAAAAACAGCAUAGCAACCAAAAAACUUACUAAAAUUUAAACUUUUUGUUUUAAGCUGAAAUUAGAAGUAAAAAGUUAGGCACCAAUAAGAGUUCUUCUUGAAUAUCUAACCAUACGUCCCUAGAAAAAUAAUAGGUUGAAAUAUCAGUUAAACGUGCAAAGCCUGACAAUCAUUUCCAUAAAUGUCGAACCACAUGUACAUGACCAAACUAGACCUAUGUUAUCAAGGCUCCUUCCCAUAAAUUGCUGUCCAUAAAAAAACGAGUUGGGUAAGAAGAAUUUUUUUGUUCUCAACCAGACCUAAUUGGCAGACACAGACAAACUACUAAUCAAGAUGACUGGCCAACUUUAAUCUAUCUACUUAACAAAGAUAUUUAAAAAAAUAGCUAAAAAGAAAAGACUCCAAACCAAUACUUGACAAUCAACCCACGAAAUGGAUUUUCAAAAUAAGAAGCAAAAGAGAGAAAGGUGCAAACGCUGAGAUUCAAUUAUUUUGUUUUCUGAUCUAAUCUUUGUGUUCAAAACUCCAAAAAAAGGAUUGGCAGGAUUGGAACUCCCUACAGAAAGAUGAUCACUAAAAUCUUAUUGUUAUACCCAAUAAGAUUAUUAAAUACAUUUUCCCAUAAUAUUUAAGAUGCAAAGCAAAGCAGAUUAUCGAAUAGAAAUAAAAAAUGAAAUAAUUUACCAUUUUGGUGCUUGAGGCUCUUUUUCCCUUCUCUCAUAUUGGAUGCUUUCUUGAUUGGAUUUAUUUAGAGAUUCUAUAACCAAAAAAGAGUGCAAAAAUAGCUCUACUCCGAGUAAAAAAGAAAUUAAAACAUAUGAUAUAAAUAAAUAAACCACAGGCAAUCGAUUUCUUGUUCUUCUUACUAAAGCGUCCAACAACACAAAUACAAACACAAAUCACAUAAAAAUUUACAGCUAGCUAACCUUCAAAAUUAGCAUCAUUAUAUUGCAAUAGACCCAAGCUGGAGAGCGGACAAGAUAGCCAAUGUGUGCUAAAAUGGCAUGAUGCAUAGCAUGUAAUACAAAAGACGAAAUAGCCAAUAUAUGCCAAAAUGCCAAAAGAAUUUUAAAAAAAAAAUUAUUAGCAAACAUUUUAGUAAAAUAUAAGAUAAUUGUUUUAUAUUUUUAUCUAAACUGGGUCAAUUGGAAUAUUAAAUAUAUUUUACCCAUAAUAUUCAAGGCGAAAAGCAAAGAAAAAUUAUCGAAUACAAAUAAAGAGCAGAGUAAUUUACCCUUGUGGCACUUGAGGCUCUUUUUCACUUCCCUCAAUUGGACGCUUUGAUGGUUGGAUUUAUUUGCUGUAGCCCAAAAAGAAUAUUGAUCAAAACUAUAGAGUUGAACUACAGGAAGAUGGAGAAAGGAAAGUCAAACCAAGUGUACAACCAAUAUGUAUACCUUCAAAAGAUUCUGACUAUUGAUCAAAGCUACAAAGCAUUUCCAAAAACAACUCAAUCUUAGAGUAAUUGUAGAAGGUUAAACAGAUUCCACAAAGGUUAUGCAGAAUAAAGAAGACAAAAUUAAGCAAAUGCAUGUAAUUUUACUUCCUGAUUUCACUCAUCCCAAGUGGAUCAUGAAACAAAUUUUGGAUUGAAACAAGAAACUAUUAAAAUAUAGAUCAAGAUCAAGCCACAGGAACUUCAUUUCCUUCUUUGGCACACAGUAAUUUAUAGAGUACAAGAUUAGAACUUCAAAACAAGAAAAGUAUAUCUCUCUUUUAGAAAGUUAUCACUAUUCACCUUAUUUCUCUCUUUAAAAAGUUAUCACUAUUCACCUUCUUUUAAGUCAUGUAUCAUAAAUAUUAAAAAAAGCUGACGUUGAAAAUAAGAAGCUAUGUACAUUACAAGAACCAAAUGAAGUUAGGAGAAAGUUUGACCCUGGCCAAAAAUGCCCAACCAGAAACUAAAACCUAAUCCUGCAAGGAAGAAAAUACAAAGAGAGUAAACUAGAACCAAAUUCAAUAAUUAAACUUAAUCCAGCUACAACUAUCUAAGUAUCAGCAAUAUCAUAAUUAAGUAGAGAAACAAAAACCAAAAGCGCAAAACAUUGAAAGCCAAUCACUAGAGCAAUCACCCAAAAUAAUAUAUUAAUAUCUAUUAGCAAUGCAAUAAUACUACACUUUUGUGACAAUGGAAGAUAUAAGAUCAGUAGGCAGUAGCAUAAAGAGCUCGGCCUUCCAUAGUUCCAAAUCAGUUAGGAUUAAGAAAAAAAAGAAUCAUAUUUCAAUGUAAAAUAAUACUUAACAUUCAAAGUGUUGAACCCUACAAAUACAUACAACUUAGCUAGAUUAAAUUAUUGUACAUCUAUUAGGAGUUAAUACUCUUGACUAAAACAGAAACACAUAAGGUAGUAGAGAAACUCCCUCAUCAUACGAACAUAACCACAAGGCUCCUUUCUCCAGAUUGCUCACUGAGAUUAUUGGAAUGCUAGAAGAACUCUUUUCAAGUCUAGAUAAACGACAGCUAUUGUUUCCAAAAAAAGCAAGAAGAAAUCACAAAACAUAUAAUUACUGAGUCAAAAAUAUCAAAACCACAAACGAAACUAAUAAAGCUAGCAUCAUCUUACCAUUCUCUUAACAAAUUGAUCGAAAAAAACAGCAUACCAACCAAAAAACUUACUGAAAUUUAAAUUUUUUGUUUUAAGCUGAAAUUAGAAGUAAAAAGUUAGGCACCAAUAAGAGUUCUUCUUUAAUAUCUAACCAUACGUCCCUAGAAAAAUAAUGGUUGAAAUAUCAGUUAAACGUGCAAAGCCUGACAUUCAUUUCUAUAAAUGUCGAACCACAUGUACAUGACCAAACAAACCUAUGUUAUCAAGGUUCCUUCCCAUAAAUGUCUGUCCAUAAAAAAACGAGUUGAGUAAGAAGAAAUUUUUUAUUCUCAACCAGACCUAAUUGGCAGACACAGACCAAACUACUGAUCAAGAUGACUGGCCAACUUUAAUCUAUCUACUGAACAAAUAUAUUUUUAAAAAGAAUUAGCUAAAAAGAAAAAACUCCAAACAGAUACUUGACAAUCAACCCACUAAAUGGAUUUUCAAAAUAAGAAGGAAAACAGAGAAAGGUGCAAACACUGAGAUUCAAUUAUUUUAUUUUCUGAUCUAAUCUUUGUGUUCAAAAAGCUAAAAAAAUGAUUGGCAGGAUUGAAACUCCCUACAGAAUGAUGAUCACUAAAAUCUUAUUGUCAUACCCAUAAAGGAAAGAAUUUCUGCUGAAACCCCAAAUACAUCCCUCACGUCAAAGCAUUUAACCCUUGGAAUCUCAAAGAGAGUCUAUUUCCAUUGGAAUUAUGAUAUGAAAUGAAAAAAUCUUUGGAAAACCAAUAAGACAAAAGGAGUCGCUUAAUCGCUCUUCAGACUCCACACCAUGAUGUUUAUUCAUUAAAGAUCAAAAUUCAGAUUCCUAUAUUCCUCACAAAUAACCAGAAAAAUCAAACAAACAUACCAUGGCACUAACUUGGAACAACACAUAGUCAGAAAUUAUAAAUAAAGAAGCCAAGCGAACCCCUUCACCUGGACAAGGGAAUUUAGAGAGAUGAUUGGAAUGGAAGGCUGAGAUUAAGUUAUACCCUCACUUAUGUUCUUAUUUGGUUUAGAAAUUUGAAAAGCUCUUUCCUAUUGUGGGAAUAGUAUUCGUUGCAUUCUUUUAAAAGAAAUAGGAAAAAAAGAAGUGGGUAGAUACAAAUUCAACUAAUAUUUUUGACAAAUAAUUUAUUUGUAAAUAAAAUAUGAUUAAAUAAAAAAUAAUAUCUCAACUUUUAUAUAUAUAUAAUUUCUUUUUGUAACAAAUUUACAUGUGUAUAUAAUAUGUUAUUACAUAAAUAUAGUAAUUUUAAUAUAUAAACAUAUACAUUAUACAAACUUUAUAUUUAUUACUUAUUAAAUAUAGUUAAUGUAUUAAUUAAUAAAUUACUUACUAAUUAGGUAAUAAUUUUUAAUUAUAAAAUAUAAUAUUAUGUUUUAUAUAACUAAUGUAUAUAAAAAAAUCAAUAUAUCAACUAAUAAUAUUUAAAAAAUCAAAAUAAUAAAAAUCUUAUGUAGAAUGAAUGCUAAUAUGAAACUUCAUACACCUUAAAGUUCAUAGGAUAGGACGAAAAGAGAAUUUUUUGAGGUCAAUAUAUUAAUAUUUUGUUAUAUUAUCUCAUGUAUGAUUUUAUACGAUAUAUAAAAUAUUUUUAAAUAAAAAAUAUGGUUACUAUUUUUAAAUGAAAAAUAUUAUUAUAAUUUAAAGAGAUUUACAUUCAAUUUAUUGUUGAUUACAUUGAAUAUAUAUAAUNNNNNNNNNNNNNNNNNNNNNNNNNNNNNNNNNNNNNNNNNNNNNNNNNNNNGAAUAUAUAUAAUUUAUUUUAAUAAAAACUUCAUAUUUAUUUUAAAUAAAUAUAAAAAUAAUAGAAAUAUUCCACAGAAUAUAUGAGUAAAUGACUUUUAAAAAAAUUAAAAGCUAAAGUUUCUGAUUUCACAUUACAAAUACAAGAAUAAUAUGUCAGCGGCAUUUUAUUUGGACAAGGCCAUUUUGGCCCUCAACUUGUGUUGCGGGAACAAGAAAAGUCAAAAAUAAAUAUUUUGAAAAAUAAACCCAUAACUUAAAUAUUUCAUACCAAAUUAACUCUUGACCAAUUAUUUGCAACCCACACGCAUUGCAAGAAAGGUGAAUUGAAUAUUUAAGUGAAAAUUCUUACAUUUCCAUAUUUUCAAUUCUUAAGUUCUUCUUGACCCCAAUUUUAUUUUAUUUUUCAAAUAAAAUUUAAAAUAUUUUAUCUCAUUUUUAUUUUAUUAAAUUACUACACCCAGACGUCAUCUAUAAAAUUCUUCUUUUUCUUGAAUUCAUUCACGAAAAUAAAUUAUUGGCUAAGAGAUUAUCUUUUUUUUCCAUAUAUGGUUUCUUAUUUAUAUUCAAAUUUUGAAUGUUGGCUUUAAUUAAAGCUCGACAGUGAGAGAGGAGCUUAAGAUCAUUGAUUGGGUUUUCUUUUCUUUUUUUAUAUUACUAUAUGUCUGUUUAUUUAAAAACCUAGCCAGUUAUAUUUUUUUGAUUAAAUUGAUCUUUUGGUAGAAAUUAAUUUUUUUGAGAAAUUAGAUUAAAAAAAGAUAAAAGAUAAAAGAUAAAACUUGAAGCAUUUAAUAACAAUUGCCACAAUGUUUUUCUUUUUCUUUUUCUUUUUUCUGUUUAAUUUGAAUGUGAAAAAUAUUUUACAUAUAGUAAACUUAUUGGGUGUUUCAACUUAAUCUUAAAGCUCCAAGUCCCUUUUUUUUUUUUUGGCUGUUAAUCAAAAAUAAAAAGCAAUAUAUAAGCUGUUAAGUUUGUUAGUAGAUGGAAAACACAGGUAGGUAAUGGUAGAUGGUGAGAAAUGGUAUUUAGUAGACCAACAUCGGUAAAAAGCAACGGUGGUGAUGGUGGAAGCAAUUUUUGUUUUUUUUUAUUAUUAAUAAGAAUAACUAAAUUAACAUAAGUUGAUUUAAUUUAUUUUUGAGUGUGAAUAAUAUGCUCAAUCAAUGUCUAGUUUGGGCUGAAUUGAUUUAAAAGAGGAAUUUUUUCACAUAUAUCCUAAAAAAGCUAAAAAUAUCAUUUUUACUGCUAAGAAAUGUUUUUCUCAAAAAUACUGUAAGUUAAGAUUUUAUUUUAAAAAUACUGUAUAAUUUAUGAGCCAUACAUUAGUGAAUAUAUCCUUCCUAUUUUCGGAACCUUGAGAAACGUUCUCAGCUAAUAGACGAGAAUGGCUGCGUUAAUAGUAAAUGUAUAAUAUUAUAGUUUCUAAUUAGACAAUGAUUGUAGUAUUAAAAGUUAAUAAUAUUAAAUAUAUUUAUACUAUUAAUUUAUAUAAUACUAAAAAUCAAUUAAUAAAUAUUUUUCAAUAAUAUUAUGUUAUUACAUUAGUGAAAAUUUUUAAAACCAAUAAAUUUUUUAAUUAUUAGUCUUAUUAAAAAUAUUAUAAAUAAGAGGCAUUAACUGUAUAUUUCUGUGUUUUUCUAUAUUACACUAUUUAACCAUUAACAUUUAAAAUUUAUAUUUUUCAUCAUUCGAUUUUGUUUUAUAAUAAAUCCUCUUCCCUUAGAAUUUCAAUUAAACAUCGCUAACUAAAUUUGAUUUUACACUAUUUGUCCUCUCAUUUUCUGUGUAAUAUACAAAUUGCCUCUUUUAGUUUAUUAAUUACUAGAACUCAAUUUGCUAAUUUCUGCAAAAAUCAAUUUUAAUAUAUGUAAAAAUAGUCAAGUAGAGUUCUUUAAUUACUAUAAUUUCAAGAAUAAUUAAAUUUCAAUGAAAUUUAAAUAAUUUAAACUAUAUUUGUGAAAAUAUCAAGAAUUUAUAUAAUUUAACUUUAAAUUAUUAAAAAAAAUAAAUUUUAUUCUUAUUAUUAAUUUUGUUACACUAGAAUUAUAACUUUGAUAAAAAGUUUGAGGAACAAAUUAUAAUUUUUUAUGUAAUUAAUUCAUUUAUUGCAUUGACUUUCGAAACAGAAAGAUUUUAAUGCAAUAAUUGACUAUAAAGGGCAAUUUGAACAUUACACAAAAAUUAUGGAGGCAAAAAGUAUAAACUCAAACCUAGUUAAUAAUUGUUCAAUAAAAAUUCCAAACAAUAAAAAUUUUUAGUAUAAUAUUAUAAAAUAGAAAAUAAAAAAAUAUAAUUUGUAAAUGUUAAAAGGUAAACAUCAUGAUAUAGACAAACAUAGAGAAUAUAUAAUAACUAGUACUAACUCUAAUUCUAGAAAAUAGGAUCUUAAUUACAUUGUUAAAAAUCAUGUUAACUAAAAAAUUAACUGUCUCUUAAGAAAAUAAUUUUAAUUCUAGAAAGUAGCAUUUAAAAUUAGAUUUUAAACAUUUUUAUUACUUAAUAAGUUAGUUUUCUAAUCCAAAAAUAUACCAUAUCUAUGGAAGAGGUAUUUUGAUACCUCCACCAAUCCUAGCAGAGAAUACAUUAGUACCUUGACUAGACUUAUUAGAGAGAUUUAUUGGUACCUUAUUUAGUUUUAGGAAAGAUACUAUAAUAUCUUAAGUUUUUCUUAACAAGUGAAACUGACCAAAUUAAAAAAUAAUCUUAUUUCCUAAAUCUAAAUGCCUUCAUUUUAUUUUAGUAUUUGAGGUAAAACAUAAGCAAGUAAGCUUGACUUACUCGAAGUUGAGCAUUGGAGCUGAUCAAGUGCAAAAUUCUAAAUUAAUUUUGUCCUUUAAACAUAUGAGGUAAAAACCUAAUAUGUGAAAUUAAACCACGCAAGAAAGAGAGGAGAGGAGAAUAUAGCAAAACUAGAAAGGGAUUAAGGAUGAGGGGGGCGUUUAAAAGAAAUUAAUUUCAAUCCUAGCUUUUAAAAGCCUUAAAAAAAUAAUACAAAUAAUAAUCCUAAUUAAUUCUAAGAAAAGUUUUAGAUCACACACUUAGGAUUCCUAAAUCCAUGUUAUUAAAACAUGCAACUAUGAAGAAAUAGAGUUAGUAAAAAGACUAAACACAAAUAAACUUGCAACUAAAAUAGCAAAGAAAUAUUAAAGUAACUAAAAAAAUUAAAGUAAAUCUAAAAUAUUAUGAUUUCUAAUUAGACAAUAAUUAUAGUAUUAAAGUUAAUAAUAUUAAAUAUAUUUGUAGUAUUAAUUUAUAUAAUACUAAAAAUCAAUUCAUAAAUAUUUUUCAAUAAUGUUAUGUUCCAUUAGUGAAAGAUUUUAAAACCAAUAAAAUCUUUAAUUAUUUAUUAUUAUUAAAAAUAUUAUAAAUAAAAGGCAUUAACAUUAUAUUUCUGCAUUUUUUCAUAUUAUACUAUUUAACCAUUAACAUUUAAAAGUUAUAUUUUUCAUUAUCCUAUUUUAUAUUUUAUAAUAAAAUCCCACUCCCUUAUAAUUUCAAUUAAACAUUGCUAUAUAAAUUUAAUUUUAUAUUAUUUUUCUUCUGACUUUUGGUAUAAUGCCUCUUAUAAUUUAUUANNNNNNNNNNNNNNNNNNNNNNNNNNNNNNNNNNNNNNNNNNNNNNNNNNNNNNNNNNNNNNNNNNNNNNNNNNNNNNNNNNNNNNNNNNNNNNNNNNNNNNNNNNNNNNNNNNNNNNNNNNNNNNNNNNNNNNNNNNNNNNNNNNNNNNNNNNNNNNNNNNNNNNNNNNNNNNNNNNNNNNNNNNNNNNNNNNNNNNNNNNNNNNNNNNNNNNNNNNNNNNNNNNNNNNNNNNNNNNNNNNNNNNNNNNNNNNNNNNNNNNNNNNNNNNNNNNNNNNNNNNNNNNNNNNNNNNNNNNNNNNNNNNNNNNNNNNNNNNNNNNNNNNNNNNNNNNNNNNNNNNNNNNNNNNNNNNNNNNNNNNNNNNNNNNNNNNNNNNNNNNNNNNNNNNNNNNNNNNNNNNNNNNNNNNNNNNNNNNNNNNNNNNNNNNNNNNNNNNNNNNNNNNNNNNNNNNNNNNNNNNNNNNNNNNNNNNNNNNNNNNNNNNNNNNNNNNNNNNNNNNNNNNNNNNNNNNNNNNNNNNNNNNNNNNNNNNNNNNNNNNNNNNNNNNNNNNNNNNNNNNNNNNNNNNNNNNNNNNNNNNNNNNNNNNNNNNNNNNNNNNNNNNNNNNNNNNNNNNNNNNNNNNNNNNNNNNNNNNNNNNNNNNNNNNNNNNNNNNNNNNNNNNNNNNNNNNNNNNNNNNNNNNNNNNNNNNNNNNNNNNNNNNNNNNNNNNNNNNNNNNNNNNNNNNNNNNNNNNNNNNNNNNNNNNNNNNNNNNNNNNNNNNNNNNNNNNNNNNNNNNNNNNNNNNNNNNNNNNNNNNNNNNNNNNNNNNNNNNNNNNNNNNNNNNNNNNNNNNNNNNNNNNNNNNNNNNNNNNNNNNNNNNNNNNNNNNNNNNNNNNNNNNNNNNNNNNNNNNNNNNNNNNNNNNNNNNNNNNNNNNNNNNNNNNUGAGGUGAAAACCUAAUGCGUGAAAUUAAACCAUGCAAAGAAAGGGGAGAGAGGAGAAUAGAGAAAAACUAGAAAGGGAUUAAGGAUGAGGGAACGUUUAAUAACUUAAGUUUUUCUUAACAAGUGAAACUGACCAAAUUACAGUCUAAUUUUAUUUAAUAAAUCUAAAAAUUAUUUUUUUUAGCAUUUAAGUUGAACAUAAGCCUAAGGGAUGGGAGGAUUGCACUAAUAAACUUAACUUACUUCAAGUUGAGCAUUGGAGCCUAUCGCAUACAAAAUGCUAAAUUGAUUUUAGUUAUUUAAACAUGUGAGGUGAAAAUCUAAUGCGGGAAAUUAAACCAUGUAAAGAGAAGGAGGAAAAGAAGAAUAAAGAAAAAUGAGAAAGAGAUUAAGGAUGAGGGAGCACUUAAAAGGAAUCAAUUACAAGCUUGGCUUUUAAAAGCCUUUGAUCAAGUAACACAAAUAAUAAUCCUAAUUAAUUCUAAGAGGAGUUUUAAAUGAAUCACUUAGGAUUCCUAAAUCCAUGUUAUCAAAACCUAUAACUAUGAAGAAAUAAAGUUAGUAAAAAGGCUAAACACAAAUGAACUUGUAAUUAAAACAGCAAAGAAAUAUUAAAGAAGAGGUACUUUGAUACCUCGUCUAAUCCUAGCAAAAGAUACAUUAGUGCCUUGACUAGACUCAUUAGAGAGAUAUAUUGGUACCUUAUCUCCUAGGGAAGAUACUUUAAUGCCUUAAGUUUUUCUUAACAUGUGAAACUGACCAAAUUGAAGUCUCAUCUUAAAUCUAAAAGUCAUUUUAUUUAGCAUUUGAGAACAUAAGCAUAAGGGAUGGAAAGAUUACACUAAUAAAAGUUGAGCAUUUGAGCCUAUCACAUACAAAAUGCUAAAUUGAUUUUAGUUGUUUAAACAUGUGAGGUGAAAACUUAAUGCGUAGAAUUACACCAUAUAAAGAGAAGGAGGAAAAGAAGAAUAGAGGAGAAUUAGAAAAGGAUUAAGGAUGAGGGGGCGCUUAAGGAGAAUUAAUUACAACCCUGGCUUUUAAAAGCCUUAAAUAAAAUAACGCAAAUAAUAAUCCUAAUUAAUUCUAAGAGGUGUUUUAAAUGAAUCACUUAGGAUUCCUAAAUCCAUGUUAUCAAAACGUACAACUUUGAGCAAAUAAAGCUAGUAAAAAUACUAAACACAAAUGAACUUAUAAAUAAAAUAGCAAAGAUAUAUUAAAGAAGAGGUACUUUAAUACCUGGUCUAUUCCUAACAGAAGAUACAUUAGUGCCUUGAGUAGACUCAUUAGAGAGAUAUAUUAGUAUCUUUUCUCCUAGGGGAGAUACUUUAGUACCUUAAGUUUUUUUUAACAUGUGAAACUAACCAAAUUAGAGUCUCAUUUUAUUUCAUAAAUCUUAAAGUUAUUUUAUUUAGCAUUUGAGCUGAACAUAAGCAUAAGGAUAUGAGGAUUACGCUAAUAAGCUUAAUUUACUUCAAGUAUUGCAUUGGAGCCUAUCACAGACAAAAUGCUAAAUUGAUUUUAGUUGUUGAAAUAUGUGAGGUGAAAACCUAAUGCAGGAAAUUAGACCAUGUAAAGAAAAGAAGGAAAAGAAGAACAGAGGAAAACUAGAAAGGGAUUAAGGAUGAGGGGGCGCUUAAGGGAUAUUAAAUACAACUCUGGCUUUUAAAGCCUUAAAUCAAAUACCACAAAUAAUAAUCCCAAUUAAUUCUAAAAGGAGUUUUAAAUGAAUCACUUAGGAUAUCUAAAUCCAUAUUAUCAAAACCUGCAACUAUGAGAAAAUAAAGUUAGUAAAAAGACUAAACACAAAGAAACUUGUAAUUAAAAAGAGCAAAAAAAUAUUAAAGAAGAUGUACUUUAAUACCUCAUCUAGUCCUAGCAAAAGAUACAUUAGUACCUCGAUUAGACUCAUUAGAAAGAUCUAUUGGUACCUUUUCUAGUCCUAGGGGAGAUACUUUAAUACCUGAAGUUUUUCUUAACAUGUGAUACUAACCAAAUUAAUGUCUAAUUUUAUUUCAUAAAUCUAAAAUUCAUUUUAUUUAGUAUUUGAGCUCAACAUAAGCAUAAGGGAUAGCAGGAUUACACUAAUAAAUUUAACUUGCUUCAAAUUGAGCAUUGGGGUCUACCACAUACAAAAUGCUAAAUUGAUUUUAGUUGUUUAAGCAUGUGAGGUAAAAACCUAAUGCGGAAAAUUAAACCAUGUAAAGAAAAGGAGGAAAAAAGGAAAAGAGCGUAACUAGAAAGAGAUUAAGGAUGAGGGGGCGCCUAAGAGGAAUUAAUUACAACCCUGGCUUUUAAAAGCCUUAAACCAAAUAACACAAAUAAUAAUCCUAAUUAAUUCUAAGAGGAGUUUUAAAUAAAUCACUUAGGAUUCUUAAAUCCAUGUUAUUAAACCUGCUACUAUGAAGAAAUAAAGUUACAAAAAAAAGACUGAACACAAAUGAACUUGUUAUUAAAAUAGCAAAGAAAUAUUAAAGAAGAGGUACUUUGAUACCUCAUCUAAUCCUAGUAGAAGAUACAUUAGUACCGUGACCAGACUCAUUAUUGUAAUACCUUAAAUUUUUCUUAACAUGUGAAACAGACCUUAUUUCAUAAAUCUAAAGUCAUUUUAUUUAACAUUUGAGCUGAACAUAAGUAUAAGAGAUGGGAAGAUUACACUCCCAUUAUUGUUUCAUGAUUAUUAAUUCAACCACCAGCCUAAUAUUCCUCAAAAAGCUCUAUAUAUUCUUUUUAUGCACAGUCUUUUUCCCUUCCAAAAGGGCAUAAUUGGAGAAGGUCUCCCAUAAGAAGAAUUAUUCCCAAUAGUAAUAUGUAAAGUAUUAUUACAAAGUGAAUUUGUUUUUAUUCUUUUAGUACUUUCAAAAUUAUUAUAUAUAUGAAGAUAUCAUUUCUCCUUAGAAAUAUAUAAAUUUUUAGCCAAAACCAGCCCAUUUCUUUUCCUGCUUUCCCUCUUGUAUAAGACCAUAUCAUUUCUGUGUGUGAUAGCUAUAUUUCAUUACUAUAUGGCAUGUUUUUGUGAGCAUUAUUAUUAAUGUUAACUUUUCUGUUUAAAGUAUGUUCUUUUUUGUUUGGUUAAUGUUUAAAGUAUGUCUUAAUUAUGUGUUUUCUGGAACAUAAGUAUAAGCAUAUAAGGUGAAAACCUAAUGCGGGAAAUUAAAUUAUGUAAAGAAAAGGAGAAAAAAAAGGAAUAGAGCGUAACUAGAAAGAGAUUAAGGAUGAGGGGGUGCCAAAGAGGAAUUAAUUACAACCCUGGCUUUUAAAAGCCUUAAAUCAAAUAACACAAAUAAUAAUCCUAAUUAAUUCUAAAAGGAGUUUUAAAUGAAUCACUUAGGAUUCUUAAAUCCAUGUUAUUAAAACCUGCAACUAUAAAGAAAUAAAGUUAUAAAAAAGACUGAACACAAAUGAACUUGUUAUUAAAAUAACAAAGAAAUAUUAAAGAAGAGGUACUUUGAGACCUCGUCUAAUCCUAGGAGAAGAUACAUUUGUACCUUGACUAGACUCAUUACUUUAAUACCUUAAAUUUUUCUUAACAUGUGAAAUUGGCCAACUUUAAUUCUAAUUUUAUUUUAUAAAUCUAAAAAUCAUUUUAUUUAGCACUUGAGCUGAACAUAAGCAUAAGGGAUGGGAAAAUUACACUAAUAAGCUUAACUUACUUCAAGUUGAGCAUUGGAGUCUAUCAUAUACAAAAUACUAAAUUAAUUUUAGUUGUUUAAACAUGUGAGAUGAAAACCUAAUAGGGGAAAUUAAACCAUGUAAAGAAAAGAAGGAAAAGAAAAAUAGAGCAUAAUUAGAAAGGGAUUAAGGAUGAGGGGAUACUUAAGGGGAAUUAAUUACAACACUGGCUUUAAAAAGUCUUAAAAGAAAGAACAUAAAUAAUAGUUCUAAUUAAUUCUAAGAGGAGUUUUAAAUGAAUCACUUAGGAUUCUUAAAUCAUUGUUAUUAAAACCUACAACUAUGAAGAAAUAAAGUUAGUAAAAAGACUGAACACAAAUGAACUUGUUAUUAAAAUAGCAAAGAAAUAUUAAAGAAGAGGUACUUUGAUACCUCAUCUAAUCUUAGUAGAAGAUACAUUAGUAACUUGACUAGACUCAUUAUUUUAAUAUCUUAAGUUUUUCUUAACAUAUGAAAUUGACCUUAUUUCAUAAAUCUAAAAGUCAUUUUAUUUAACAUUUGAGCUGAACAUAAGUAUAAGGGAUGGGAAGAUUACACUAAUAAGCUUAACUUACUUCAAGUUGAGCAUUGGAGCCUAUCAUAUACAAAAUGCUAAAUUAAUUUUAGUUUUUUAAACAUGUGAGAUGAAAACCUAAUGCAGGAAAUUAAACCAUGUAAAGAAAAGGAGGAAAAGAAAAAUAAAGCAUAACUAGAAAGGGAUUAAGGAUGAGGGGGCGUUUAACGGGAAUUAAUUAUAACGCUGGCUUUAAAAAGUCUUAAAACAAAUAGCACAAGUAAUAGUUCUAAAAAUAACAAUUUAAAUAUUACAAUAAAAAUCAGGGCAAAUAAUGUAAACUUAAACCUAAUUAAUAAUUAGUUUAGUAUAAAAUAAAAAAAUAUAAUGAUGAAAGAUAUAAUUCUAUAUAUUAAGUGGUAAACAAUAUGAUAUAGAAAACAUAGAUAAUAUAUAAUAAUUAUGCCUAACACUAAUUCUAAAAAAUAGUAUUUUAAUUAUAUUAUUAAAAACCAUAUUAACUAAAACAUUAAUUUUCUUUUAGAAAAUAAUUCUAAUUUUAAAAAGUAGCACUUAAAAUUACAUUUUUAAUAUCUUAUACUUAAUAACUUAGUUUUCUAAUCCUAAAAUCUACUAACCUAAGGAAGAGAUAGUUCGGUACCUCGCAUAAUCUAAUGAAAAGAUACCUUAGUACAUUGACUAGACUCAUUAGAGAGGUACAUUGGUAUCAUUAUCUAAUUCUAGUAAAAGAUACCUUGGUACCUUCAGUUUUAUCUUUGCAUAUGAAAAGUGACCAUAUAAUUCUAAUAUUGAUUUUAAAAGAGUAAUGUAAAUAUAAAAACUUGAAGUGUUAAUUAAUAUAUUACAUACAAUGAAAUUAAUAAAAUUUACUUGUCCAUUCUUCUUAUAUUCAAUAUAAAGUCAUUGAAAUAGAAUAGAAGAUUGCAUGUGGUCAAGCCAUAUUUGGAAAGAAAAACGAUCUUCGUAAAAAGUUAAUGUUCUUACCGUAGUAAAAAAAACUCAUUAACACUAAUUGACUUCUUUAAUAUAUGGCUAUGAUCAAUAUCAUUGUAACAUAUAGCACAUUUAUGAAAUAAUUAGUUAAUUAGUUAAAAAUAAUAAUAGCAGGACUAAAAUUAUUUUAACUAAAAUCUUAAUUUUAUUAUGCUUAUAUUAGUAAUUAAUUUAAUAGACUAUAAAUAGUUAGACUUUAUCAUAAACUAAUUGUUUACCCGCGAGUUGCACAACUGUUGUAAUGAUUUUGAUUAUAAAGAAUGAUAUAAAUUUAAUAUAUUGACAAGUUUGAUAGAACUUUAAGUAUUUUAUUAUUAUUUAUAAGAAUAAUUAUUAUUUGCCCCAUGUAUUUUUUUCAUAUCAGUUAUAUCUAAUAUUUAAAAAUUAUAUUUUUUAAUCUUUUGAUUUUAUAAUUUUAUACUAAGAAUCACUUUCAUCAAGAUUUUCAUUAAACAAUCAUUAACUAUAUUUGAUUUUAUAGUAUUUUCCCCUUCAUUUUAAUUGUAAUUCCUUCUAUUUCAUUUCAAGAAGUCUAUAUCGAAUAUAAGAAAAAUAUAUUUCGUUAUAUGUUAACACUUUAAAAAAUUUUGUAUUUACUUUACCCUCUUAAAAUCAUUAUUAAAUUCUUUUUAUAACAAAGUAUUGGCAAACAUUACUAUUAUUUUAACAUAAUGGAAGAUAAUUAUCUUUUUAUUUUUAUCUAAAAUGGGUCAAUAAGAUUAUUAAAUACAUUUUACAACAUAAUAUUUAAGAUGCAAAGCAAAGCAAAAUUAUCGAAUACAAAUAAAAAGUGAAAUAAUUUACUAGUUUGGUACUUAGGCUCUUUUACCCUUCUAUCGGUUGGAUGCUUUCUUGAAUGGAUUUAUUUAGAGCUUCUAUAACCAAAAAAAAGUGCAAAAAUAGCUCGUCCCAGAAAAAGGAAAUUAAAACAUAUGAUAUAAAUAAAUAAACCAAAGGCAAUCGAUUUCUUGUUCUUCUUACUAAAGCGCCUACCACCACAAAUCAAUUUGCAGCUAGCUAACCUUCAAGAUUAGCAUCAUUAUACUGCAAUUGACCCAGGCUGGAGAGCGGACAAGGUAGCCAAUGUGUGCUAAAAUACCAUGAUGCAUAGCAUGUAAUACUGAACACGACAUAGCCAAUAUAUUGCCAAAUGCUAAAAGAAUUUUUUUUUUUUAAAAGUAUUAGCAAACAUUUUAGUAUAAUAUAAGAUAAUUAUUUUAUAUUUUUAUCUAAACUGGGUCAAUUGGAAUAUUAAAUAUAUUUUACCCCAUAAUAUUCAAUGGGCAAAGCAAAGCAAAAUUAUCGAAUACAAAUAAAAAGCAGAGUAAUUUACCAUUGUGGCACCUAAGACUCUUUUUCACUUCUCUCAAUUGGACGCUUUUAUGAUUGGAUUUAUUUGCUGUAACCCAAAAAGAAUAUUGAUCAAAACUAUAGAGUCGAACUACAGGAAGAUGGAGAAAGGAAAGUCAAACCAAGUGUACAUCCAAUAUGUGUACCUUCAGAAGAUUCUGACUAUUGUAAUUGUCCAAAACAACUCAAUCUUAGAGUAAUUGUAGAAGGUUAAACGGAUUUCACAAAGGAUUAUGCAGAAUAAAGAAGACAAAAUUAAGCAAAUGCAUGCAAUUUUACUUCCUGAUUUCACUCAUCCCAAAUCGAUCAUGAAACAAAUUUUGGAUUGAAACAAGAAACUAAUAAAACAUAGAUCAAGAUCAAGCCAGAGGAACUUCAUUUCCUUCUUUGGCACACAGUAAUUUAUAGAGUACAAGAUUAGAACUUCAAAACAAGAAAAGUAUAUCUCUCUUUUAGAAAGUUAUCACUAUUCACCUUAUAUCUCUCUUUAAAAAGUUAUCACUAUUCACCUUAUAUCUCUCUUUUAAAAAGUUAUCACUAUUCACCUUAUAUCUCUCUUUUAAAAAGUUAACACUAUUCACCAUCUUUUAAGUCAUGCAUCAUAAAUAUCAAGAAAAGCUAGCACUGAAAAUAAGAAGCUAUGUACGUUAUAAGAACCAAAUGAAGUUAGGAGAAAGUUUGACUCAAUGACCAAAAAUGCCCAACCAGAAACUAAAACCUAAUCCUGCAAGGAAGAAAAGACGGAGAGAGUAAACUAGAACCAAAUUAAAUAAUUAAACUUAAUCCAACUAUAACUAUCGAAACAUCAGCAAUAUCAUAACUAAGUAGAGAAACAAAAACUAAAAGCACAAGACAUUGAAAGCCAAUCACUAGAGCAAUUCACCUUCUUUUAAGUCACGUAUCAUAAAUAUCAAGAAAAGCUAGCACUGAAUAUAAGAAGCUAUGUACGUUACAAGAACCAAAUGAAGUUAGGAGAAAGUUUAACCCAAAUGCCCAACUAGAAACUAAAACCUAAUCCUACAAGGAAGAAAAGACGGAGAGAGUAAACUAGAACUAAAUUGAAUAAUUAAACUUAAUCCAGCUAUAAUUAUCGAAACAUCAGCAAUAUUAUAAUUAAGUAGAGAAACAAAAACCAAAAGCACAAGACAUUGAAAGCCAAUCACUAGAGCAAUCACCCAAAAUAAUGUAUUGUUGUUUAUUAGUAAUGCAAUAACUACAGGUUUGCGACAAUGGAAGACAUAAGAUCAAUAGGCAGUAGCAUAAAGAGCAUUCCCCAAUCCCAUGUGUAUAAUACAUAUCAGAUAAAAUACACUAUCAAUAUAUCAAACAAAAGAAAGAUAACAUACAUAGUAAAACUCCUAUACUCCUAGAGCUUUUUAUACUUCAACACCACCUGAGGGGCGCUUUAGAUAGCAAUAAAUUCUUUAAUAAGCUAGUAACACCUGCCAUCUUGAAUUUUCUUAAAUAGAAGCAAGUAACGAAGGCCAAACUUCUAGAAGAUGCAAGUGUUUAUACUAAUACUGAUGAAGAUCACAUACUGACCCUCAAAUUUCCAUUUUCCAAUAAGGUUCUUUCUAGUAUGCACUUGGUGUAAUUUACUUCUAAGUAGUACUUGGUAGUUGAUUUUCAUGUGACAGAAAAGAAAAGGUGAAAUCAAUGGUUUUUUAGGUUUUAAAACCAAAAGCAAUAUUUUUUAUUAUCCCUGGGAAAGAAACUGAAAUUAUUUGUUUGAUGGUCUACUGCAUCCAAAUAUUUAACCUAGAAUAACAAAUAUUAGCUAUAACAGAGAAACAACAUAUACAAUCCUAUGGAGGCUAAAAACAGAUAAAACGUGCAACACUUCCACAUUACCUGCAUAUUUCCAAUUAAAUGGGCAAAAAGAACCAAACACAAGAUUGGCAAUUAGUGUAGCAAAUGCAGUUUCCAAACCGUGGUUGAUGGAACUGAAAAUACAGAAAGCAAAAAACAAUCGUUAAAAGGUUAUAAUCAACCUUCACACAACACUUUUUACCACUACUCACGCAUUCUACGCGGAUGAAGUAUAUAAGUUUGGAACAGAGCUAUUUUACGUUGCAAAAAAAAUGUGAUUAUCAAUUUAUGAGUCAUGAAGAUAAUUAUAUGUUUAGUCUUUGCAUGAGUACGGGAGAGGGGGACCAAAAGCUUCAAUUAAUUUCCAAGCAUUAAUUCAAACAACAAAUAAAGAUGAUAAAGUUUCAUUUGUCAUCACUUGUAUUUAACUUUUUUGGUACUUUCAUAAAUUUGUACCUCAGAUUCUGCAAGCCCUACCAAAACCAGUAGAAAUACUUCUCAAGAAAGUCAGACGAGAAAACCUUUUGUGUCACAGCAUUUGCAAAUAUCCCAUAAUAAAAAAUAGUAAUGUUUUUUGGAUCACAGCUAUUAAACACCUGAGUAUUGUUUCCUCAUAGUUUGCUUUCAUUUUUGUUCAAAAUGCCACAAUCCAAGUAAGAGAGACUGCACUUUCAUGUCUAUAAGCAUACUUGCAGUACGUCACCUGACGCUCAAUUAACAACAGAUACCAUGAGGCUCCUAAGACCUACAAGAUCAGAAGGCUAAUCAUUACAAGACUGCUAAGAGUAGAAUAUUAUUCAGACCCAAAAGCAUUUUUAUACAAAAGUAGACAAAAUAGUAAUGCUAAAUCAUCUAAAUAGAAGAAUGAUAGCCCGUCAUGCUCCAACUGAAGAAUUAAGGAUAGUGGAAAACAGAAUUUAGGGAGAGUCUUGCCCUUAGUAUUUUCACAUAAAGUGGUUGUUGCUCUUAAAAUUGUUCCUCUACCCUUGAGCAAGAGUUCUACCAUUGCAGCAUGCAAUGGCCAAGCUAUUAACAAAAUAUUAGCAUACAAAAUUUGACUUAAGAUUACAUACAUGAUUAGCCAACAUGUAGAGCAGGAGGUUAUAGGCAGCCCCAGCCCAAACAGUCUUUGUGACUAUUCCAAUGGCUUUGAUGAUCUCAAAUCAUGGCUGGAGCAGAACAAUCAGUAGAAGAGCAUUGUUGGUAUGAUCAGAAUAGAGCCUCUAAUUGCCAGAAUAAUAAACCAUGUCACAAUCUGCAAAAAAUAUCCGAACUCAUUUUUGCUUAUGAUUCAAAUUCUAUGAAUUAAAAGAGGCUAAUAAUACACAAGCUCCACAUACGAGGAUCCAAAAUAAAAACCUGUGCACAUGCCUGCAACUAAUUUUUUAAAGAAAGGAACAGUCAUAGUCAAGUUUAUUCAAAUGUACCAAAAUUUAAAAAUUGCAAUCAAGGCCUUGAGAAGCGAAGCAUAUAGUGACAAAAGCCACUUAUCACUUCUCCACAAGCUGGUAGAGACCAAGAGAUGAACAAAAACCAAUGCACAAGGCUCGUUAACAUCAUAAUGCAAUUAAUUAAAUCACAAAAUUAAAAAAUGGAACCAAUUUUUCAAUGUUAGCAGCCAUAUCUCCACAAGCUAGUGGGAUCUCAGAAAAGCCAAUACUCAAAAUUCACUACUACUUAAGAGUUUUAAUUAAAUAAAAGAUUAUGGAUAAUGACAUCGAAAAUAACUUAUUUUCCAAUCUUUAACCUACAGCCUGAUGAGAUAAAGGGACUUCUCGGAAGUAAGGAACCAAAUGAAUUAGAAAUCCCAUAACUUCCCUCGAUCAAUCUAAUUUAAUAAUAUUCAAAAUAGAAACCCCAUUAUUCAAAGCAAAAAGAACUCCCUCAUGAUUAGUGCUCUAUGACAACACUGGCUGGAGUCAAUACCUGAAAGAUGUGGUAAGAAGAUCUCAGCCUUCCAUAGUUCCAAAUCAGUCAGGAUUAAAAAAAAAAAGAAUUAUAUUUCAAUGUAAAAUAAUACUUCCUAAAACAUUCAAAGUGUUAAACCCUACAAAUACAUACAACUUAGCUACCUUAAAUUAUUGUACAUUCUCUAGUGAGAAUAUUAGGAGUUAAUACUCUUGACUAAAACAUAAACACAUAAGGUAGUAGAGAAACUCCCUCAUCAUAAGAACAUAACCACAAGGCUCCUUUCUUCGGAUUGCUCAGUGAGAUUAUUGGAAUGCUAGAAGAACUCUUUUUAAAUCUAGAUAAACGACAACUGUUGUUUCUAAAAAAAGUAAGAAGAAAUCACAAAACAUAUAAUUACUGAGUCAAAAAUAUCAAAUCCACAAACGAAACUAAUAAAGCUAGCAUCAUCUCACCAUUCUCCUAACAAAUUGAUCGAAAAAAACAGGAUAGCAACCAAAAAACUUACUGAAAUUUAAACUUUUGUUUUAAGCUGAAAAUAGAAGUAAAAAGUUAGGCACCAAUAAGAGUUCUUCCUGAAUAUCUAACCAUACGUCCUUAUAAAAACAAUAGGUUGAAAUAUCAGUUAAACAUGCAAAGCCUGACAUUCAUUUCCAUAAAUGUCGAACCACAUGUACAUGACCAAACCAUACCUAUGUUAUCAAGGUUCCUUACUAUUUUGGUACUUGAGGCUCUUUUUCCCUUCUCUCAGUUGGAUGCUUUCUUGAUUGGAUUUAUUUAGAGCUUCUAUAACCAAAAAGGAGUGCAAAAAUAGCUCUACUCCCAGUAAAAAAGAAAUUAAAGCAUAUGAUAUAAAUAAAUAAACCACAGGCAAUCAAUUUCUUGUUCUUACUAAAGCGUCCAACAACACAAAUACAAACACAAAUCACAUAAAAAUUUGCAGCUAGCUAACCUUCAAAAUUAG
rnacentral:lncRNA from 1 species